rnacentral:rRNA from 1 species
AGUGAACGCUGGCGGUAGGCCUAACACAUGCAAGUCGAACGGCAGCACAGUAAGAGCUUGCUCUUACGGGUGGCGAGUGGCGGACGGGUGAGGAAUACAUCGGAAUCUACUUUUUCGUGGGGGAUAACGUAGGGAAACUUACGCUAAUACCGCAUACGGCCUACGGGUGAAAGCAGGGGAUCUUCGGACCUUGCGCGAUUGAAUGAGCCGAUGUCGGAUUAGCUUGUUGGCGGGGUAAAGGCCCACCAAGGCGACGAUCCGUAGCUGAUCUGAGAGGAUGAUCAGCCACACUGGAACGGAGACACGGCCCAGACUCCUACGGUAGGCAGCAGUGGAGAAUAUUGGACAAUGGGCGCAAGCCUGAUCCAGCCAUACCGCGUGGGUGAAGAAGUCCUUCGGGUUGUAGAGCCCUUUUGUUGGGAAAGAAAAGCAGCAGGUUAAUACCCCGCUGUUCUGACGGUACCCAAAGAAUAAGCACCGGCUAACUUCGUG